rnacentral:rRNA from 1 species
UACGUAGGGUGCAAGCGUUGUCCGGAAUUAUUGGGCGUAAAGAGCUCGUAGGCGGUUUGUCGCGUCGGCUGUGAAAAACCUGAGGCUCAACCUCGGGCCUGCAGUCGAUACGGGCAAACUAGAGUUCGGUAGGGGAGACUGGAAUUCCUGGUGUAGCGGUGGAAUGCGCAGAUAUCAGGAGGAACACCGGUGGCGAAGGCGGGUCUCUGGGCCGAAACUGACGCUGAGGAGCGAAAGCGUGGGGAGCGAACAGG